rnacentral:misc_RNA from 1 species
AAAGUAUACCGUGAAAUACAGACCCAAAAGUCCGCCAAUAUUAACAGUGAGUGUUUAGGUUGUGUUCUCUUUUUCCGAAUGUAGUUGUUAAUCGUAAUCUCUCGGAGUCGUCGGAAGUCGCUGCCCUCCAAGCUCGUCAGUUGUCUCAGUUUAGCUGCCCAGAGAAAGAUAACGCCUUCUCCGGCAUGAUACUCCCUUCAUCUUCUUUAUUUUUGACAUGGUGUUUCUAGUGUUGUGGGGUUGUUACCAGUGGUCAUGGUUGUGAUUAUCAUUGAGUUUUGUUUUAAUAUUGAGCUUAAAGUUUUUCGUUUUAGCUUCAGUUAGGUUGAUUAUGUGUUUCGCUAUUUAAGUUUAUCUAUUUAUUUUCCUCAUUUAUUUAAUUUUGUGUUGAAU